AACGAACGCUGGCGGCAUGCCUAACACAUGCAAGUCGAACGAGACCUUCGGGUCUAGUGGCGCACGGGUGCGUAACGCGUGGGAAUCUGCCCUUGGGUUCGGAAUAACAGUUGGAAACGACUGCUAAUACCGGAUGAUGACGUAAGUCCAAAGAUUUAUCGCCCAAGGAUGAGCCCGCGUAGGAUUAGCUAGUUGGUGAGGUAAAGGCUCACCAAGGCGACGAUCCUUAGCUGGUCUGAGAGGAUGAUCAGCCACACUGGGACUGAGACACGGCCCAGACUCCUACGGGAGGCAGCAGUGGGGGAUAUUGGACAAUGGGCGAAAGCCUGAUCCAGCAAUGCCGCGUGAGUGAUGAAGGCCUUAGGGUUGUAAAGCUCUUUUACCCGGGAUGAUAAUGACAGUACCGGGAGAAUAAGCUCCGGCUAACUCCGUG
rnacentral:rRNA from 1 species